CUAAAUCGAUAGGAAAACAACACUUACAUGAUUCGCCCUGAUGGGUCUUUCCAUUUUUCUCAUUGUGAGUACUAUCCAUCAAGCAGCUCAGCCUUUUUCCAUAUUGAAACUGAAAGUGCUUUCCAUUUUAAAGUUGAUCUUUUCGGAUAAUUACAAAUGCCAGGUGUGUGCACAUGUUCUUGACUUAUCUACGAUAGAUCCAGAGCUGACCAAAAGAAAUAAACACAUCAAAGCAUUUUUUUUUUUUUAAAUUGUUUCUCUCAGAAAUUAAGUCCUACUUUUCAUUAAACUUCCGAGUCAUAACACACAACAAAUCGAAAGCGGGGCAUGUGUUAUGGCCGGAUCAUAUCUCGGUUAAAGUCUAGUGUGAAUCCAUUUAGGCUAACUGUCGUGGAUAAAUCCGUGUUUAUAGAUAUAAUAAGCCUCUUGAAAAAAAUACAUAAAUGUGUAAGCAUAGUUACACAGCUCUAGAUAAAACUCAAACUCUUGAAUUCAAAGUGUUUAGAUGGAUUUAAUGCUUCAAAACAGACAAAGUCAACCAAAAGGAUCCAACUGAAUACAUGUGUCAAGUCAAUAUGACUGGAAGAUGCAACAUGUAUGACUGGGUGACUGACUCCAUGUAGAACAUUGAUAUGAUAGUAAACUUUUGUUUUUGUCAGGCAUCAAACAUUCAAAGGUUCUGUUUCCAUAGUUAAAAGAUGAAGUAAAGUAUAACAAUUUCAAGUAAAUAGGUCAAUAAGAUUUAACAAAUAAUUACAUGGCAAUUUGUUUUUUUUUUUAUGUAAGGGGAAACAACUUUCAGGGUAAAAAUGUUAAACCAGACAAAGGGAGGCAAAUCAUGUUAAAAUUUUUUUUAAAACAAACCAACAUGGACAUACCAAUAACUACAAGAUAAGGUAGCUUGGUAUUAUUAAAAUUACAAUGUGUGAUCAUUUAAAAAAAAAAAUAGGGCUUAGGAUUCCACUAGAAAAACUAGGAUCUAUAACUCUAUUUAAACUCUUUAAAAUGGAAUCUUGAAAUUUAGGAAAUAUUAGGUACUCAAAUAGCUAUUCCAAAAAUUCAAAGGAUUAACUAAACAGCAUUAGUAUUUAUCCUUGACAAGAGUUCAAAAUAAGUCCACCAGUCCCACUUGUGACCAAACAUGUACCACAUACUAUAUAUAACAAUUGAUCUCAAGCUUUUCUCAACACACACUAUGCCACGGGCAUACAUUUGCAAUCCAAUCUCCAAAAUGCAUAAAAAUCAAACUUUGAAACUAUGACAUUAAAAUUUUUGACUACAGACAAAUGUAUAAAGAAUAAACAUUUGAGAUAAUUGCCCAACUUGAGAACACACUGAUCAAUUCAAUCUCUUGUCAUUGUACUACGAUUGUCUUUGUGUGUUAAUUCAUCACAAAUUAAAGAAAUAUAUGUAUAAUAUCAUAAACUAGCACAGUGUUUCCCAAACCUGUUCCACGAAACCCUAGUGUUCAGUGGGGCCUGAAUAAAUGUUCCACAAACUACUGUAAUAAUUAACUAGUAGGCCACUAUGUGGAUUAAACUCUCUAAAAAAAAAUAAGCAAAGUGUUCUGCUAAAUAUUCAAAAAGUGCGAAGUGUUCCGUUAAGGGAAAAGUUUGGGAACCACUGGACUAGCAGAACUUUCCAUGAUGAGAAGAAAGGGAUACAAUGCUAUGUUGUAAAUAAAACAAAGCUCACAAUGUCAAUUUGCCUUAGCAAGUGUUUUGCUAGUACAAAAGGUGGCAAGCUCUGAACUAACCUAUAAGGUUAUCUAUGUAUUGGUCUGACUGGAUUUAACAAACAACAAACAA